rnacentral:tRNA from 1 species
GAAGUGGUGGUUCAGUGGUAAGACUUCUUGUCUUCCCAAGCGGGAGACCCAGGUUCAAUUCCUGGCCAAUGUA